rnacentral:rRNA from 1 species
GAUGAACGCUGGCGGCGUGCUUAACACAUGCAAGUCGAACGAUGAACCGGGUGCUUGCACUCGGGGAUUAGUGGCGAACGGGUGAGUAACACGUGAGCAACCUGCCCCUGACUCUGGGAUAAGCGCUGGAAACGGCGUCUAAUACUGGAUAUGUCCCGUCACCGCAUGGUGUGCGGGUGGAAAGAUUUUUCGGUUGGGGAUGGGCUCGCGGCCUAUCAGCUUGUUGGUGAGGUAAUGGCUCACCAAGGCGUCGACGGGUAGCCGGCCUGAGAGGGUGACCGGCCACACUGGGACUGAGACACGGCCCAGACUCCUACGGGAGGCAGCAGUGGGGAAUAUUGCACAAUGGGCGCAAGCCUGAUGCAGCGACGCCGCGUGAGGGAUGACGGCCUUCGGGUUGUAAACCUCUUUCAGCAUCGACGAAGCGAAAGUGACGGUAGGUGCAGAAGAAGGACCGGCCAACUACGUGCCAGCCGCCGCGGUAA